CAAUCCGCUCGCCUCCUCCUCUUCCAAUCGCGUUGCGUCAACCGCGCCUCCUCUCGUCGCUGCCGCCGCCGUUCGGCUCGUCCUCUCCAUCGCCGGCAACCUCCGCAUCCUCUACUCCAUCCAGUCGCCGUCGCGCGGCCUCAUCUCCUCGCCGUGGUCGGGGGCAGCGGCCAGUCGCCAUCACCGUCGCCUGCUCCGCACUCCUCUUGGUAACUAGCCGCCAUACUGCCAAGCAUGGGGGCUGCCGCCGCGCCACGCGAUACGACGAGGACUUCAGCCCGAGGAUCUACUGACGUGAGGAGGAGCUACCUUUCCUCCUUAUCUGGACGAGCUCGCUACGUCCCCGGCUAUGCCGCCGGCAAAACUACAACCAUUGUUCAUGAUCUUGGACCUCUUGUUUUCCUCGCUGCUACUUCUCCAUUGAUGGUUCUACAGGUUAAAUCAUUUGACUUUUGUUCUCUGUUGGUGUUCAUGGUCCGUGCCUCAUGUUAGGGAAAAUAUUGUGGAGAGGGCUUCUGCAUUUCUUUAUGGUCCUCCAUGACUAUGGUAAAGAGAGGGCUUCACAAGGCUUUGUAUUCUUCUUUCGUUUGAUUUCCUGUAGAUUUCAGCCAGUAGCUAGAUACAGAGAUUCAAGUACACAAGAUUUCCCGUGGCCUUCUAAGAAGAUUUUUGUUCUGCUGUCAGAUUUGUUAGGUGGUCUCCCAAGCGUUGUUCAGCAUAGUCAUGGAGGACGCCGGCCAGCGGCACGACUUCUUGCCCUCAUACACCUCUUCUCCCUAUGCCACUGGAUUUAUAAACGACGGUCAUGUUGCUUCAUUUUGUUGGUUCUUGCAGGAGUAUCUGUGUAAAAUAUAUUUCACUCAAUGGGCAUUUAAGGUUUGUGAGAUUGAUUGCAACAAAAUCUGAUAUGCGCCGGAGUUUGAAUUGGACCUUUUCAAAAAGAGCUAAUAGGUCUCUCUAUAAAGAGUACACAUCAGAAAAUUCAAUGCAGUCCCAAUAUUCUAAGAGCGUACAAAGAUAUAGAAGAUGUGGUUGUGUAAAAUGGCUCGAUGAUGAACUCGGUUUCCUGAUGUUUAGGUGGUGGCUUUGUUGUUGGGCUCUACCCCCCGCAGGCUGAUAUUAGAGGUUCAUGGAUCUUUUUCAAAGCUUUGGCAUUUGGCAUCAAUUUUUUUAGUUCGAAGAUUGAUCAGCAUGGAAUAGAUAUGAUGCAGAUUGGUGCACCAAUUUGUGUGAUAUUUUGCAGAUUUGAAAUUUCAUUUGUAGCCUGAAGGUGUUAAUACAAAAGUAUGACUCUGUUACAGAAAAUGCAUUCUUCGUAGAAGUGGCAGGUGCAUAUACAUUUAACGCUUUACAUCAAACCCUAUUUUUGGUCUCUUUGAAAUUUCUCAGAGGUUGAUAACACGGACAGUCUUUCAGCUGGUUGGUAUCAGUUUGUAUGUGCUAAGUUGUGCUGGAUUGAUUUCAUGAGGAUACAGUGAGGUUGACCUACAUUGUGUCUUUUCAGAUGUUUUUACAAGUUUGUUGUUGAUGCCAUAUCAUUGGUUUUUCCAUGUUGCAAAAGGUAGCUCGGAUGCUCAACACUAGUUGUGGUCUUUUUUGUGUCCUCUAGCUGCAACUUGACUCUAUUCUUGUGUUUCUUGGUGCUGCAACUUAUCUCAUGAUUGUGCAUCUGUUGUCCUAAUCUUCUAAAUAUAUUGUGCUGAUGCCCAGCUGCAUAUUGUCCAUUUCUGAUGUCUUGGUCAAUCAGCUAUAGGUUGUGAGGUACUUUUACCAGUUGUAUAUUUUAUAGUUGUCCAUUUUCUUAGAAUGUAGUUUCUCCAGGUGCUAUCUUAACAAUUGUAAUAAUCGGGUGGCUAGCUUCUAUACAUGGAAAUAAAUUAGUGUCAGGCUUAUAAAUGCUGGCUUAUUAUGCUUACUACAUAUUGUUGGAUUAAAGAGAGGAGCUAACUGCAUUUGAUUGUUUAAGUAUCAAUCAACCUUCUUAGACUGGAUGAAUUAGUUGAUCCAAGGUUAUGAUGAUUGUAUGAUAUACUUGAGAAAUAAUGCUAUCUUUAGAGAAUUUCAUCAAUUUCUACCUUUGUCCUUUUUUGUGCAAGUUUUGGUAAUGCUUCGGUUUAGGCACAGCCGUACAAAUUUGUGUGUUGUUGUCAGACUGCAGCUAUGUUUUGGUUUAAUCACUACUGCACAAAUUUGCUACUCAUGAACGUGAUACGGUUGUUUGUUAACUGUGGAUUUAGACAAUGGAAUUAGAUUACGUGAUAGAUGUCCUUGACAUUAUAUACCCCGUGAUUGAACAUGUGUAUAUUUUUCACAAAGUUCAUGUCAUUUAGGUCAUGCUGUAGUUUAGGCAUAGCUAUACAAAUAUGGGUACCAUCGUCGAUGACUGCAGCUCUGUUUUGGUGAUAUUUCGUUUUAAUCACUUGUACCAAAAUCUACUCAUGAAGGUAAUCCGGUUCUUUGUUAUUAUAUAGCUAUAGACAGUGGAAGCAGAUCACGCGAUAGAUGUCAUUGAUUUUAAAGCUCAUGACUGAACCUGUGUAUCUUUUCCAGGAAAAUCAUGUGUCGCUUACUUUCUCGCCAGUGUUAUCUAAAUUCAGUAUAAAGUGUUCUCGGAGCGGCAAGGAUUUGUGUGAUUCAUGGCAGAUACUGGAGAGGACAACCGAGGAUAUUCGACAUUUGUUGUAUACAAUAUAAGGUUAACAUAUUCAAGGAACGAGCACCAUUUGGGAAAAUAUCAAUGGCCUCCAUUCAGUUAUGUACAGGACCAAUAUGUGAUGAACUCUGCAAACAGUGUAAGUACAAGUUGAUUUCUAUGUUUUGUUCUCUUUCAUCUGUAGGUGUCUUGCAACAACAUUAUCUAUAAUAAAUCUAGCCAGCUGUACUACAAUUCCCACACCACCAAUUUUUUAA